AAGUGUCUAAAGAAUACGCUCCUUUACGGGUAUUGAUUUCUAACUAGUUCUGGGGGAGUCUGAUUCAGUGCUUUCAUUCUUAGAAGGUUCCCUUUUCACAUGCAUGUUCGAAAUCAUUUAAACUCACUUAAUUACAAAUGCAAACGUAUUCCCUGACGUGUUCAGACAACGAAAGUUCAACUCCGCUACCGGGAAAAAGAAAAGACAUUUUGAACAGAAGAGUCAUAUUUGACUCGAAACGUGAACCCUUGCUUCUCUCCGACUUACUAAGUAUUUCCAAGCACUUUCUGGUUUUGUUAUUAUGAAUUCACAAGGGAUGAAAUCAGUCGUGUUCAAGGAGUCCUUGAACGUUUGAAACGGAACUCAGAAGUUCUCAGCCGGUUCCUUCCCGUAUCCUCUUUGCGUGGGGACGUUGUGAAAGUUGUGAACUUGACUUCCAAGAAGGAACCGGCGGGGAGAGUGAAGGAGAUUGCCUCCAUUUCGAAGGCAACAAAAGGAGUUUCCAAACUCCGCUUUCGAAAUGUGAACAGCGUUUCUGGGAAUAGCAAAAGGCAAGCAAUAAUUGAAAUAUGAUUCAUUCCCUAUCGGGACGGCACAUGGAGUAACAGAAGCGGUGCGGAAGAAAUACUCACAUAUUUUCCAUUUCUCAAGAAGGCACCAAGUUACGGUUUCAGGUUUUUUUUUGGGAAGAAAUGUUUCCAUUUUUACAGAGCAAAGUUUGCUUGUUUCUACUUAAAGAAACCAUGUCAAAAUUCUGGCAAAACGCUACUUAUGAAGUAAAACGUCUCAUUAUUUAUAUAUUAAAUAAGCGUUAAAAUUGCUACAUUUGUAAUAAAAAAGCCCACAGUAAUUAAUGAAUGGGCUUUUAAUUUUU